rnacentral:sRNA from 1 species
GCCAGGUGUGGUGGCGUGUGCCUGUAGUCCUAGGUAUUCAGGAGGCUGAGGUGUGAGGAUCACUCGACUCCAGGAGUUUGAGACCAGCCUUUUGGCAACAUAGAAAGGAGACCUCAUUUCAA